GGUACUCAAAACAUUUACACCAAAAUUUUCAACUAAAAUUUUUACAAUUUUUCCACUAAAAUUUGUCCACUAAAUUUUCACAACUUUCCCACUAAAAGUUAUACCUUUAGAAAAGGCUCACUACUCGCUCUCUAACCUCUCACAAAUGCCACUACCCCCUUUUCUCUCAGACACGAUAGUGGCAUGUAUUCUGACGAUGACUCCGAUGUAGACUACCACGACGAUAUGUUGUCGCCAGCGUUGGCUAUUGCUGCGACUAUGGUAUACUUCGACGUAUUCGGUGGAGUUUGUGUCAGAUUUGCAGAGGCUUUUCCUUGAACAGCUGGACCUCUUUUACCGUAAGAAACAUUAGUCUUCGAUUUUGAUUAUGAUACUUCGUAUCUCCUUACUCCUUUCCUGUUUUAGAUCCUUAAUCUCACAAAGAUCAUAUCCCUAAAUCUUUGCUUGUUUUUUUUUUUCAAUCUUGAAUCUGUUCUCAGAUCUGUAUUUUCAAUAAUUAUUUUAAUGUAUUCAUUUCGUGUUCAUCUUAUAUCUCUCGAGUGUCGAAGUAGUCUCUUUAUAUUCCGAUAUUUAGAUCUGGAAUUUUGGAGUUUUGAGUUGUGGGGGGUAAUAAUUGAAUUUGAAGGAGGUUUUCGAGAAUUGGUGUGAAAUUUGAAGGUUUUCAAAUUAGGACCUUUUAAAAUUUGUUCCCGAUUGUUAGGUACAUGUAAUUCUUGCGAGCCUCCAUUCAUAGUUGUUCCUUGGAGUUUAGACAAUUUUUUAUAACAAUUUGAUAGGAUUGCUGUUGUGUGCGUGGGCUUGGUGGUAGGCUUGAGUUUUGUGGGUUAUUUGGGGAGGAGGAUAGGGCAAGGUGAGGUUUGUUUCUUUCUUGCAUAAACCUCUCAACUUAUCUUGCAACUUCUGAAACUUGGAAAACAUAGCAAUUGUGGCUGCGACCUAAAUUGUUGUACUCUCACGCCUCUCUUUACUUCGGACAUAGGCCAAAAAAUACUUGCAAUAACAUAGUUGUAGACAAUUCUUUCUUUUAAGAACUCAAAGGACUGUCAAAGAACUAUAAAUGCAUAGCGUAUAGGUAUUCAUUCUGAAUAUAAAAUAUUUUCUUAUGUUUAUGCACUUUGUGUUUUGCCAUAGUUUCUCACUUUGAAUAUUACUGUCUGCAAUGCAAUUGUAAGGUGUAUUUAUCUUCACAUGGUGUUGUUUAUGCUUAGAUCUCAGGCUACUGUAGAUGACAUUACUGAUGUAUUCGUUUGGUAAUAACACAUUCUCAAAAUAUUUCCAACUCAUUUAUUAGAAUUGAGUAAAAAAGAAGAUCUGUGUAUUUUUGCAAAAUCAUUUGUAAUGUUAUCUCAUUGACUUCAUAUGAAGCCAAGGCAAAAGGUUCCCAGACGGAUACGACUAAGGCUACGAAUUUCGUUUUGCAUUGUGUCUAAGACCAGUUAUUGAACUUUAUCUAAUUGUGCUCAAAAAAAUGAAGCAUGGGUCCGGGUAGUGGCCAGAAUCCAGAUACAUGUGUUAAAAGCACAGGUACUUUAUACCUCUUCUUUCUUUUAUUUUUUCAGAAGUUUUUUUUUUCAAUUGAUUUUCUUUCAUUCUAUUUCUUUUUAUAAAAAAUUAUGCAUUCGAUGUGUUAGUGUGGUUCAUUUUUUCUGUGAGUUCACAACAUAGACAAAAUUAUUUGAAUUUGAUGUUGAACUUACAUGUUCUGCAAAUAUUUAAGAGCGUGCAAAGAUCUUAACUUAUAUCCGAAGCAUUCUUGAUAAUCUUGACUUCUUAGAGGUUGGAGUUUUAUGGAGUUGUUUUAUUUUGCCUUUACAGAUUUGAUAUUAUUAGAGCUCUAUUAGUACCUUGGCUUGAGUAAAACUAAUUGAAAUAUAUAAGUCCUACUUGUAACUGUUAGAGAGCAGAUUAAGAAUUUGUAGCCAUUUAUUCUUCAAUAUUUUUGUUUUUUAAGAUGUUGCACUAAAUAUUUAAUGUGAAGAAGCUUCAUUAUAUUUUUCAUAUGAAAGAUAGUGAGCUUUCAAUUGCAGAUGAACUUUCAACCUAGAGUUUUCAUCACUAUAAGGUACUCCCAGAUGGCGAAAAAGAACUCAAACAUAUCAGAUUCAGGAAAAUAUGGAUGGUGCAAUUGAUAGCGGCCAAAAGUUAAUUGAUCUAUUGAAGUGAAUGAUAAAGAAUUUUUGAUCAAUUGUAAUUUUUAUUAUUAUGAUACUAUAUGAAUACAAUCAAUUUAUAGAGUUCGUAGUUAGUGCACAAACUGAAAUAUUGUUUAUCAGUAUGUGCAGAAUACGAAAUAUUUUUUUUUUUGAAGUUUAUUGCUAUUAUAUGCAAACAAAUUAUUUUUCUA